AUGUCAAAGAAGAACAAUCUCGCAAAGAGAAAGAGGCAGCACGAAUUCGAACUUCGAAGAGAGAAACUCGAGAAGGAGAAGAAAGACAAGAAGCUUCAGGCGAAGAAAAACAAGAUGAAAGUUGAUGGUAGUGACCGGAAAAAGAAAGGUGGAAGUGGGUUUCAGGUGGGAAAGAAGAAACUGAAGACUAAGAUAUCAGCUCUGUCUAAAGCUAAAGCUGCACAAGCAAUGGAGCUUGAUAAAUAA